rnacentral:rRNA from 1 species
AGUGAACGCUGGCGGUAGGCCUAACACAUGCAAGUCGAUCGGCAGCACAGUAAGAGCUUGCUCUUACGGGUGGCGAGUGGCGGACGGGUGAGGAAUACAUCGGAAUCUACUUUUUCGUGGGGGAUAACGUAGGGAAACUUACGCUAAUACCGCAUACGACCUACGGGUGAAAGCAGGGGAUCUUCGGACCUUGCGCGAUUGAAUGAGCCGAUGUCGGAUUAGCUAGUUGGCGGGGUAAAGGCCCACCAAGGCGACGAUCCGUAGCUGGUCUGAGAGGAUGAUCAGCCACACUGGAACUGAGACACGGUCCAGACUCCUACGGGAGGCAGCAGUGGGGAAUAUUGGACAAUGGGCGCAGGCCUGAUCCAGCCAUACCGCGUGGGUGAAGAAGGCCUUCGGGUUGUAAAGCCCUUUUGUUGGGAAAGAAAAGCAGCAGGUUAAUACCCCGCUGUUCUGACGGUACCCAAAGAAUAAGCACCGGCUAACUUCGUG